ACAGACAGACAGACAGACAGACAGACAGACAGGAAGCCACCAGACCUCCAGGGCCACGUUCAGUAACCAGACAGACAGACCGUUUAGGAGUAAAUACUUUAUUAACAUUCUCCUUCAGCAACACCUCUACAGGAAAUAGAGACUCUGUUCCUGGUUCCCAUGGCUACGAGUGGUUAGUUAGUGAGACGGGCGGAGACAGACCCUCCUCUCUGCUCUGCUACAGUCUUUAAUGAGGUCCCUUUAACACAAGAGGUCCCCUGUGGUCCCGUGACCCAAACCACAGAAUACUGCUUAGCGUUAACUAUGGUGACAGGUUCUCUGAUCGUUUGGUAGAACCCGUCUCGUCUCCUCUGGGUCUCAACCUAAAAACAUUUCAAUUGUUGACUUGUGCCAAGGUCCUCCUCUGUUACCCAGAACACACUGCUUCACCCAGACAGCGUCCCAACAGUCUAAAGCAGCUCGUCUUCUCCUCCUUCUCAUCUGAAAGUGUCCUGGUCACCCUGAAAGCUAAUUCCCUCAUCAUAUAUACUCUUUAUACCCGCUUUCACUUGUCCUGUGUUUUUCCUGCGCAGACGAAGGAGGGGUGAGGAGGCGAGAGGAAGAGAAGGGAGGAAGCAUCUUCAGACUAUUGAGAUUCAGCCGGCCUGAAUUCCCUCCAUUAUUCAAACAAUUCAGUUAGCGCUCUUGACAGAUAGCAUUUAGCCAACUGUUAGCUCUAGACAAUUAGCUAACCGUUAGCUCUAGACAAUUAGCUAACCGUUAUCUCUAGACAAUUAGCUAGCUAACCGUUAGCUCUAGACAGACAGCUAGCUAACCGUUAGCUCUAGACAGACAGCUAGCUAACCGUUAGCUCUAGACAGACAGCUAGCUAACCGUUAGCUCUAGACAGACAUUUAGCUAACCGUUAGCUCUAGACAGACAGCUAGCUAACCGUUAGCUCUUGACAGAUAGCAUUUAGCUAACCGUUAGCUCUAGACAGAUAGCAUUUAGCUAACCGUUAGCUCUAGACAGACAGCUAGCUAACCGUUAGCUCUAGACAGACAGCUAGCUAACCGUUAGCUCUAGACAGAGUUAGCCAACCGUUAGCUCUUGACAGAUAGCAUUUAGCUAACCGUUAGCUCUAGACAGAUAGCAUUUAGCUAACCGUUAGCGCUAGACAGAUAGCAUUUAGCUAACCGUUAGCUCUAGACAGACAGCUAGCUAACCGUUAGCAUUUAGCUAACCGUUAGCUCUAGACAGAUAGCAUUUAGCUAACCGUUAGCGCUAGACAGAUAGCAUUUAGCUAACCGUUAGCUUAGCGCUCCAGACUACCUAGAAUAUAAAAUAGCAUUUCUCAGACGUAUAGAAAACAUAGUGUAUCUAUAGCAACAUCAUCAAUAGAAAAACCUGCAUGGUUAGUUCCUUCAUGUUAAUAACAUGUAAUACUGGGGAAAGGUAAUGCUGUAUACUUCACUGUGUUAGGCAUCUCUCUACUCAACAUUAGGUUAUACCUUCAUCCCUCUAUGUUCACAGUUGAAGGGAUGAGAGAUGGAGGGAGGGGUAGAGGAGGGGUGGAGGGAGGGAUGGAGGAGGGAUGAAGGGAGGAUGAAGGAGGGAUGAAGGAGGGAUGGAGGGAGGGGUAGAGGAGGGAUGAGGAGGCGAGAGGAAGAGAAGGGAGGAAGCAUCUUCAGACUAUUGAGAUUCAGCCGGCCUGAAUUCCCUCCAUUAUUCAAACAAUUCAGUUAGCGCUCUUGACAGAUAGCAUUUAGCCAACUGUUAGCUCUAGACAGACAGUUAGCUAACCGUUAUCUCUAGACAAUUAGCUAGCUAACCGUUAGCUCUAGACAGACAGCUAGCUAACCGUUAGCUCUAGACAGACAGCUAGCUAACCGUUAGCGCUUGACAGAGUUAGCCAACCGUUAGCGCUUGACAGAGUUAGCCAACCGUUAGCGCUUGACAGAUAGCAUUUAGCUAACCGUUAGCUCUAGACGGACAGCUAGCUAACCGUUAGCUCUAGACAGACAGCUAGCUAACCGUUAGCUCUAGACAGACAGCUAGCUAACCGUUAGCUCUAGACAGAUAGCAUUUAGCUAACCGUUAGCUCUAGACAGAUAGCAUUUAGCUAACCGUUAGCUCUAGACAGAUAGCAUUUAGCUAACCGUUAGCUUAGCGCUCCAGACUACCUAGAAUAUAAAAUAGCAUUUCUCAGACGUAUAGAAAACAUAGUGUAUCUAUAGCAACAUCAUCAAUAGAAAAACCUGCAUGGUUAGUUCCUUCAUGUUAAUAACAUGUAAUACUGGGGAAAGGUAAUGCUGUAUACUUCACUGUGUUAGGCAUCUCUCUACUCAACAUUAGGUUAUACCUUCAUCCCUCUAUGUUCAC
rnacentral:lncRNA from 1 species